GACAGAGGGUGCAAGCGUUGUUCGGAAUUAUUGGGCGUAAAGCGCGCGUAGGCGGCUUGGUAAGUCGAAUGUGAAAGCCCAUGGCUUAACCAUGGAAGUGCAUUCGAAACUGCUUGGCUAGAGUAUCGGAGAGGGUGGUGGAAUUCCCAGUGUAGAGGUGAAAUUCGUAGAUAUUGGGAGGAACACCAGUGGCGAAGGCGACCGCCUGGACGAUUACUGACGCUGAGGCGCGAGAGCGUGGGGAGCAAACAGG
rnacentral:rRNA from 1 species